rnacentral:rRNA from 1 species
GACGAACGCUGGCGGCGUGCUUAACACAUGCAAGUCGAACGGAAAGGCCCUGCUCUUGUGGGGUGCUCGAGUGGCGAACGGGGGAGUAACACGCGAGUAACCCGCCCUUGUCUGUGGGAUAUCUUCAGGAGACUGGGGCGAAUACAGGAUAGGAGCUCCUGCAGCGUGGGGGGGGUUGGAAAGUGUCGGCGGUUGGGGAUGGUCUCGAGGGUUAUGAGCUUGUUGGUGGAGUAGUGGCUUACCAAGGUUUUGAAGGGUAGCCGGCCUGGGAGGGGGACCGGCCACAUUGGGACUGCGGUAGGCCCCAGUAGCCAACGGGAGGCAGCAGUGGGGAAUAUGACGGAAUGGGGGGAAGCCUGUGGCAGCAGUCCCGCGUGCGGAAUAACGUGUUACGGGUUGUAAACCACUGUGUACGGUGACGAGGCGGGAGUGACGGUACUGGGUAAAGAAGCCCCGGCUAACUACGUG